rnacentral:ncRNA from 1 species
UAACCGUAGUAAUUCUAGAGCUAAUACGUGCAACAAACCCCGACUUUUGGGAGGGGCGCAUUUAUUAGAUAAAAGGCUGACGUGGGCUCUGCUCGCUGAUCCGAUGAUUCAUGAUAACUCGACGGAUCGCAUUGCCUUUGUGCCGGCGACGCAUCAUUCAAAUUUCUGCCCUAUCAACUUUCGAUGGUAGGAUAGGGGCCUACCCUGGUGGUGACGGG